GAUGAAGAACGUAGCGAAAUGCGAUAAGUAAUGUGAAUUGCAGAAUUCAGUGAAUCAUCGAAUCUUUGAACGCACAUUGCGCCCCCUGGUAUUCCGGGGGGCAUGCCUGUCCGAGCGUCAUUACAACCCUCAAGCUCAGCUUGGUGUUGGGCCCCGCCGCCCCGGCGGGCCCUAAAGUCAGUGGCGGUGCCGUCCGGCUCCGAGCGUAGUAAUUCUUCUCGCUCUGGAGGUCCGGUCGUGUGCUCGCCAGCAACCCCCAAUUUUUUUCAGGUUGACCUCGGAGCAGGUAGGGAUACCCGCUGAACUUAAGCAUAUCAAUAAGCGGAGGA
rnacentral:misc_RNA from 1 species